rnacentral:rRNA from 1 species
UAAGACAGAGGAGGCAAGCGUUGUUCGGAAUCAUUGGGCUUAAAGCGCGUGUAGGCGGCUUCGUAAGUGUCUUGUGAAAUCCCGUGGCUCAACCACGGAACUGCUGGGCAUACUGCGAGGCUUGAGGUUGGUAGAGGUGCCUGGAACUCUUGGUGGAGCGGUGAAAUGUGUAGAUAUCAAGAGGAACGCCGGAGGCGAAAGCGGGGCACUGGGCCAAAUCUGACGCUGAGACGCGAAAGCGUGGGGAUCAAACAGGAUUAGAUACCCUGGUAGUCCACGCCGUAAACGAUGCACACUGAGCGCCGGAGUCUCUGACGACGUCGGCGCUGGAGUAAAAACGUUAAGUGUGCCGCCUGGGGAGUACGGCCGCAAGGCUA